rnacentral:telomerase_RNA from 1 species
UGUGCCGGGGUGGGCAGGCCCUAUGGCCGACUAACCCUAAUGGCGGCCGCGCCCCUCACGCUCGCCCGCUGUUUUACUCGCUGACUUUCAGCGGGCGAAGGAAGCGGCCCAGGGGAAAGGGGGUGGGGGAAAAGAGUUCCGGCCUCAAAAAAAGCCAGCGAGGGGGAUCCACACCCCGGCCCACCCUGGGGUCCCUGUCCCUUCUCCGAAACCGGGGAUGCUCCUGCCCUCGCCCCUCGUGGAGGCCGCGGUCGGCGGGCUCAGCGCCGCUGCCGCCGCGAAGAGUUCGGCUCUGUCAGCCUCGGCGGCGGCCGGGAGCAGAGGGCCGGCGCGCCCACCCUGGGCAGCCGGGGGACCCCAGCAGAACAAAACGGGCGCGGCGCCGCUGGGCGCUGAGCAGCCGCCGCCCCCCGAGACGUGGGGUGCGCGGCCGGCGCCGCCCCGACACCC